rnacentral:lncRNA from 1 species
CUUGGAAGCAGAGGAAAACAAAGUCAUGGGUUGAACCGAACUGGCGAUGCACUGUCUGGAUUGGAUGCAUGUAUGCUUUUAGAAAUAUUUUUGAAUUUCCCAACUACUACAGCAUUCAUCUCCAUGGAAGUGGAAGGCUGGAGAUGUCUCCUUUUAUGGAUUUCACUCUUCAAAGCCCUGCCAUACAUCCUAAAGCUGGAAAACACAGACAACGAAUAAUUCCGAGUUUAAUAGAGGAUCAUUUUAGAGAAAUGUCUACAGGUUAAUUUUCAGGGGAAAUUAGUGGUAUAGUCAUUGGGCCGUGAAAACACAAUGUGAAAACUUGACUCGGUUAAAUAUUCAAGCAUGACCUUAGAGAAGAGUCAUUCAGUUUGGCGUUGAUAAGACAAAUCAGUGAUCCAAAUUGGAUGCCCUCCUUUAUGUUCUUAAGAUUAGUGGAGUUAUAUAAUAUGAUAUAUUUUUUGAGAACUAUCUACCUUCAACCUAAGGGCAAGUAUGUGAUUUUUAAGUAGGCCCAUCUUUGUCUCCGGCAGCAAUGAAGCCUGAAAUAGAACUUCCCUUUUUGAAUGAAGUGGUGGGGUUAAGUAGGAAAAGUGAUGGAGGGGGCACAUAAAGACAGAAAAUUCAGACUUGAAAUAAAAUGAUGUGUGUUGUAUUUCA